rnacentral:rRNA from 1 species
GACGAACCGUGCGAACGUUAUUCGGAAUCACUGGGCUUAAAGGGUGCGUAGGCGGGCCACCAAGUCAGGGGUGAAAUCCCACGGCUCAACCGUGGAAGUGCCUCUGAUACUUGUGGCCUCGAGGGAUGCAGGGGCGUGCGGAACUCAGGGUGGAGCGGUGAAAUGCGUAGAUAUCCUGAGGAACACCGGUGGCGAAAGCGGCGCGCUAGACAUCUACUGACGCUGAGGCACGAAAGCCAGGGGAGCAAACGGG